UCCAGCCAUGCCGCGUGCGGUGAAGAAGGCCUUCGGGUUGUAAACCAGCUUUUGUCAGGGAAGAAAAGGUUCUGGCUAAUACCUGGGACUCAUGACGGUACCUGAAGAAUAAGCACCGGCUAACUACGUGCCAGCAGCCGCGGUAAUACGUAGGGUGCAAGCGUUAAUCGGAAUUACUGGGCGUAAAGCGUGCGCAGGCGGUUAUCAAGACAGAGGUGAAAUCCCCGGGCUCAACCUGGGAAUGCCUUUGAACUGCAUGGCUAGAGUACGGUAGAGGGGGAUGGAAUUCCGCGUGUAGCAGUGAAAUGCGUAGAUAUGCGGAGGAACACCGAUGGCGAAGGCAAUCCCCUGGACCUGUACUGACGCUCAUGCACGAAAGCGUGGGGAGCAAACAGGAUUAGAUACCCUGGUAGUCCACGCCCUAAACGAUGUCAACUGGGUGUUGGGAGGGUUUCUUCUCAGUAACGUAGCUAAAGCCUGUAAUUAAACCCCCGGG
rnacentral:rRNA from 1 species